rnacentral:rRNA from 1 species
CAGCCGCCGCGGUAAUACGUAGGGUGCGAGCGUUGUCCGGAAUUAUUGGGCGUAAAGGGCUCGUAGGCGGUUUGUCGCGUCGGGAGUGAAAACUCAGGGCUUAACUCUGAGCUGGCUUCCGAUACGGGCAGACUAGAGGUAUGCAGGGGAGAACGGAAUUCCUGGUGUAGCGGUGAAAUGCGCAGAUAUCAGGAGGAACACCGGUGGCGAAGGCGGUUCUCUGGGCAUUACCUGACGCUGAGGAGCGAAAGUGUGGGGAGCGAACAGGAUUAGAUACCCUGGUAGUCCACACCGUAAACGUUGGGCGCUAGGUGUGGGGCCUAUUCCAUGGGUUCCGUGCCGCAGCUAACGCAUUAAGCGCCCCGCCUGGGGAGUACGGCCGCAAGGCUAAAACUCAAAGGAAUUGACGGGGGCCCGCACAAGCGGCGGAGCAUGCGGAUUAAUUCGAUGCAACGCGAAGAACCUUACCUGGGUUUGACAUAUGCCGGAAAGCUCUAGAGAUAGAGCCCCUUUUAGUCGGUAUACAGGAGGUGCAUGGCC